GGGUGAUGAGGGAGGCCUAUCUGCAGAGGAGCUGUGUGGGUUGACGCCUCUGACAACGGUGGGAGGUGUGAUCAAGAAAUAAAGCUGGGUGGAGUGUCCUGGCAGAGGAAGCUCAAGAGCAAAGGUCCAACAGUGAGCGGUGCUCACGUACCCUGUGGGUCACUUUGGCUGCUCUGGGGAGAAUGGGAACAGGCCGCUCGCAAGUGUCCCCUUGCCCAGCCCGUGCCUCUCCAACUACAGCCUCUGGGACCAAGGGAUGCAUGCUCUCUAGUUAUCGUAUUUCCUGGCAUUCUGGAUCGACCCAGAAAAGACCCACCAGUGGCUUCAGAGGAACAUCUAUUGCGGCCAAAGUAUCCCUCCUGCCGGAGACCCCCUUCUCCAGAGCACGGAGGCUGGAGCAGACGUUCCCUGCGGCCCUUCCAGAUCACAGAGGCAAGAACAAGCCAGAGGCAGCUGUGGAGAACCACCUGGAAUCUCUUGAGCCCAGGGCCUGGGCAGCCUGCCUGGGGCUGAAGAGGCAGCCAGGACCUCACCCGGGGCUCACCUCCAGGGCAGGGGCACAGCAGCCCUGGCCCGCUGGGCUCCCCCAGGGCACAGCCUGAGUGCGAUUCGCAGUGGAGAGUUUUUGAAACGUUCACCUAUGUUAUCUGUCUUCUUAUUUUCCUUUCCUCUUUUUGCUUUUCCCCUGACUCAGCGGCCCCAGGAAGGGCUGAAACAGAGGAAGGCAGAAAGGGGAGUCUUUUUCCUGGCUUUUGAAGUUCAAAAGGCCUUCAGAGGAAACGAAAGACCUCCAGGCACUCAUUGCGUGUAAAGAGCCAUGCUUCCAGAGCCCCCACACAGAAAAGGAUUGGCUGGGAAGUAAAGAGCAAGCAUUACCAAGGGUUGGUGGCCCCUGCUGAAACCAGAGGCUUCAGCCCACGCCAGGUGCAGGCAGGAAGAGGAUUUAAAAACAUCAGUAAGGAACGCCUGGGUGGCUCAGUCCAUGAAGCAUCUGCCUUCGGCUCAGGCCAUGAUCCCAGGGUCCUGGGAUCGAGUCUUGCAUCAGGCUCCCUGCUCAGUGGGGCGUCUGCUUCUCCCAAUGCC